rnacentral:rRNA from 1 species
UGGGGAAUAUUGCACAAUGGGCGAAAGCCUGAUGCAGCAACGCCGCGUGAGGGAAGACGGUCUUCGGAUUGUAAACCUCUGUUCUUGGUGACGAAACAAAUGACGGUAGCCAAGCAGAAAGCCACGGCUAACUACGUGCCAGCAGCCGCGGUAAUACGUAGGUGGCAAGCGUUGUCCGGAAUUACUGGGUGUAAAGGGAGCGCAGGCGGAUGAGCAAGUCAGCUGUGAAAACUACAGGCUUAACUUGUAGAUUGCAGUUGAAACUGUUCACCUUGAGUGGAGUAGAGGUAAGCGGAAUUCCGAGUGUAGCGGUGAAAUGCGUAGAUAUUCGGAGGAACACCAGUGGCGAAGGCGGCUUACUGGGCUCUAACUGACGCUGAGGCUCGAAAGUGUGGGGAGC